rnacentral:misc_RNA from 1 species
GGAGAGGUUUAUUAUACAGUAUGGG